rnacentral:rRNA from 1 species
GAUGAACGCUAGCGACAGGCUUAAACACGAUGCGAAGUCGAGGGGCAGCGGGUUUUAGCUUGCUAAAACUGCCGGCGACCGGCGCACGGGUGACGUAACACGUAUCGCAACCUGACCCAUUGCAGGGGGGAUAAGCGGAAGAAAUUCCGUCUAAUACCGCGUAAUAUCCUUUGAAGGCAUCUUCAUAGGAUUAAAGAGUUAUCGGUGUCGGAUGGGCAUGCGUUCCAUUAGCUAGUUGGUGAGGUAACGGCUCACCAAGGCUACGAUGGAUAGGGGUUCUGAGAGGAAGGUCCCCCACACUGGUACUGAGACACGGACCAGACUCCUACGGGAGGCAGCAGUGAGGAAUAUUGGUCAAUGGACGGAAGUCUGAACCAGCCAAGUCGCGUGAAGGAAGACGGUUCUAUGAAUUGUAAACUUCUUUUGUCGGGGAGUAAAGUCAGCUACGCGUAGCUGUUUGCAAGUACCCGAAGAAAAAGCAUCGGCUAACUCCGUG